rnacentral:rRNA from 1 species
GAUGAACGCUGGCGGCGUGCCUAAUACAUGCAAGUCGAGCGAACAGACGAGGAGCUUGCUCCUCUGACGUUAGCGGCGGACGGGUGAGUAACACGUGGAUAACCUACCUAUAAGACUGGGAUAACUUCGGGAAACCGUAGCUAAUACCGGAUAAUAUUUUGAACCGCAUGGUUCAAUAGUGAAAGACGGUUUUGCUGUCACUUAUAGAUGGAUCCGCGCCGCAUUAGCUAGUUGGUAAGGUAACGGCUUACCAAGGCAACGAUGCGUAGCCGACCUGAGAGGGGGGUCGGCCACAAUGGAAAUGAGAAAAGGUCCAAAAUCCUAAGGGAGGCAGCAGUAGGGAAUCUUCCGCAAUGGGCGAAAGCCUGACGGAGCAACGCCGCGUGAGUGAUGAAGGUCUUCGGAUCGUAAAACUCUGUUAUUAGGGAAGAACAAAUGUGUAAGUAACUAUGCACGUCUUGACGGUACCUAAUCAGAAAGCCACGGCUAACUACGUG